rnacentral:rRNA from 1 species
AUUGAACGCUGGCGGCAGGCCUAACACAUGCAAGUCGAGCGAGCGGCGGACGGGUGAGUAAUGUCUGGGGAACUGCCUGAUGGAGGGGGAUAACUACUGGAAACGGUAGCUAAUACCGCAUACCAUAAGAUAUGCCCAGAUGGCAUUAGCUAGUAGGUGUGGUAACGGCUCACCAAGGCGACGAUCACUAGCUGGUCUGAGAGGAUGACCCGCCACACUGGAACUGAGACACGGUCCAGACUCCUACGGGAGGCAGCAGUGGGGAAUAUUGCACAAUGGGCGCAAGCCUGAUGCAGCCAUGCCGCGUGUGUGAAGAAGGCCUUCGGGUUGUAAAGCACUUUCAGCGGGGAGGCGUUACCCGCAGAAGAAGCACCGGCUAACUCCGUGCCAGCAGCCGCGGUAAUUC